rnacentral:rRNA from 1 species
AGGAUGAACGCUGGCGGUCUGCUUAACACAUGCAAGUCGAACGGAGUACCUCGGUACUUAGUGGCGGACGGGUGAGUAACGCGUGAGAAUCUGCCCUUAGGUCGGGGACAACCAUUGGAAACGAUGGCUAAAUACCGGAUAAGCCGAGAGGUAAAAGAUUAAUUGCCUAGGGAAGAGCUCGCGUCUGAUUAGCUAGUUGGUGAGGUAAAGGCUCACCAAGGCAUCGAUCAGUAGCUAGUCUGAGAGGAUGAUCAGCCACACUGGGACUGAGACACGGCCCAGACUCCUACGGGAGGCAGCAGUGGGGAAUUUUCCGCAAUGGGCGAAAGCCUGACGGAGCAAGACCGCGUGAGGGAGGAAGGCUCUUGGGUUGUAAACCUCUUUUCUUGGGGAAGAACAAAAUGACGGUACCCAAGGAAUCAGCAUCGGCUAACUCCGUGCCAGCAGCCGC